UGUAGCUCAGCAUGUGAAUUUUGUUCCUUAAUAUUCUCAGCACUUUCAGUCUAAUCAGUUUUCAGGAGGAAGAGAUUAUGGUAGAGGCUAAUAGAAAACAAGCCUAUUUACAUGUGGUAAGUCAAGCCAUACUGCAGUUCUCUCAACCUAAUAUGGUUGUUCAAGCAUGCAAUGUCUCACCAGCUAUGAUUUCACAUCAAGUUUCUCCAGCUCAAGCUGAAUUGAGCUGUUGAUAAACUGAAGCUGGUACUGCUGGUUUACUGAAGUGAAGUUCCUAUCUUGAGUUUGUGUAGUAGUUGAGGAUUAACAGUUCAGAUUGACACACUGAAGGUUAUGAAGAUGUGAUCUGAAAUGCAGUGAAGUUGAGAUCUACUGCAAAUAUGAUCUGAAGUGUAGUGAAGUUGGAGUUUCAAUUCAUUUUACUGCAGAGUGAUGGGAUUUUUUUAUUGCCGAGUCAAAGUUUUUUUUUACAAGCUCAAACUGCAGGGCAGUUUAGCUUGAGGAGGGAUGUUGACUAUGAAAGACAAAUGCUGGAAGCUGAAAGAAGUAAAAUGUCACAACUAUCCUUCACUUACUUAAAGUGAUACUUAAUACGCUGUCGUUUUUUACUAGUGUGUUUUAAGUAGUUAGCCCAAGUCAACUGCUUCUCUUUACUUUAGUCUUCGACUUACUCUACUGUACACAUAUAAAACAUUGAUGAAGUGCCCAGCUGUAAUCAAUCAAGAAAUCAAAGA